AUGAUGGACUAUAGGACAGGACUGCUGCUUUUAACUGUCUGCUGGGCAGGUGUUGAUGGUCAGACUCUGACAGAAUCUGAACCAGCGGUUAAAAGGCCUGGAGAAUCCCACAGAUUGACUUGCACAGCCUCUGGAUUCACAUUCAGUAACCACUGGAUGGCCUGGGUUAGACAGGCUCCUGGAAAAGGACUAGAGUGGGUUGCCUGGAUUGAAAGUGGUAGUGGUAGCAGCAAAUACUACUCCCAGUCAGUUCAAGGCCGGUUUACCAUCUCCAGAGACAACAACAGACAGCAGGUGUAUCUGCAGAUGAACAGUCUGAAGACUGAAGAUUCUGCUGUUUAUUAUUGUGCUCGAGACUCACAGUGACUGGAGUUGUUUGAGCAGCUGUACAAAUACAUACAGUACUCAUCCUGCCUGUGUUGAUAGAUCUGUGGAAAGGCCCCCCCCCCCCUUUUUUUUUUUUUACUUUUGUUAUUGUUGUUAAGAAAAUCACAUUACUAAAUAGGCAUAUCUUGUUUAUUCCAUAACAUCCAUAACUAUAAAAUUAGUAGCUGAACAAUGUAAUACAUCCGCAUAGUUCAAUGGUUUUGCUAAUUGUCUAACUUUAGAUUUAGAAGUCCUACAGAGAUUGUAGGUUGAGAGAAUAAAUGGAGGGUCAAACUGUU